AGAGCGAACGCUGGCGGCGUGCUUAACACAUGCAAGUCGAGUGCGCGCCUGUAGCAAUACAGGUGGCGCACGGCGCACGGGUGCGUAACACGUGGGUAAUCUGCCCUUCGAUGGGGAAUAACCUCGCGAAAGCGAGGCUAAUUCCGCAUAACAUUCCGAUGGUUCCGAUCAAUGGACUCAAAGCCGUAAGGCGUCGGAGGAGGAGCCCGCGCACGAUUAGCUAGUUGGUGAGGUAACGGCUCACCAAGGCUUUGAUCGUUA
rnacentral:rRNA from 1 species